rnacentral:lncRNA from 1 species
UGCUAUAGUCAUUUCAAUAUAUUGUGAUGAUGGAAUAGACAUUAUUUUCAUUUUGUAGAUGAAGAAACUGACAAUCGGAUUGGUUAAACAACUCACCCAUGACCACAUGUCUAGUAGAUACCGACAACUAGAUAGAUUCUUCUAUCACCAUCUUAAAUUACUUUCUCUUCAAUUAUUUGAUGAAUAAGAGAUGAAGAAGGAUGUUCUACAGAUUGUCUGAAUACAACCACUUUGGCCAUUUCUAAUACAUCGUACUUCAUUUAUGGGAUCAGUUCAUCAAGGUGUAUUUCUAAGAGUCAUGAGCUUGGUGUCAGAGAGUUUAUGUUUGAGGUCUGGCUCCUCAUUUAUUAUUUGUGUGAACACACACAAAUAGAUGAAAACCUCUGUUUCUUUUUUUCUUAAGGGGAGCACAGUAAUAAUAUUGACACAAUAUGCUUCAAAGAGAUGUAUUGAGGCUCAAACAUUGUGAUCGCUUUGCAGAAAUAUAAAGAAGCAAAAGGAUGUAUGUUCUUAGGGUCACCAAGUUUUUAAGAAAAUAUUUCCCAGGAACCACACAACACACUGCUGUUCCAGUUCACUCAAAGAUGACUACAUUCAAAAGACCAAGUACUCAUGUAACUGAAAUAAGCCACUAUUCCAGUGGAGCUAUAAUGUUACAAUCUCACCACCAAAUUCAAUAUAGGCAGUAGAACAAUGUACUGGACUCCUUUUCUGUAUUAUCUUUCUAUUGUGUGAAUAACAGUGGAACACAGGGCCUUUCCAAUGGCUCAUUCUCGCUUUGCAACCAACUUCUGCCUACUCACUCCUCUCAGUCAUAAAGUUCAUUGUUGAAAUCCUCAACUUCUGCUUACAUAGGUUGGUUGGCAUUUGGAUAAUCCCUAGCUUCAUUUUUCAAACAAACAAGGUGUUUGGUGCACAUAUGUCAAAAUCAUACAAAAUAUUUUGAAAGUUACAAAAAUGAGUAAUUUUAUUUCCUCUGAUUAUCUACAAAACAGGGAGGUAAGUGUCCAACAAAGUUUUCAGCCACUGUCAUGGAGGAAGUCUAGAAUAUCUGCCAAAUUGUGAAGAUAUACUCUUUAGCUGAAGAGGACAUCUAGGUCAUCAUGUCAACAAAAAGAUAUUAUACAAAAUCCUGGGAUGUUGAAGAAAUUCCUAAAUUAGAC